rnacentral:tRNA from 1 species
GGGCCCAUAGCUUAGGCUGGUAGAGCGCCCGGCUCAUAACCGGGCGGCCAUGGGUUCGAAUCCCAUUGGGCCCA